CUCUAUGGCCAUGCCACUCUGAAUGUGCCUGAUCCAGUCUGAUCUUGGAAGUUAAGCAGGGUCGGGCCUGUUAGUACUUGGAUGGGAGACCACAUAGGAAGACCAGAUGCUGUAGGCG
rnacentral:rRNA from 1 species